rnacentral:rRNA from 1 species
GAUGAACGCUGGCGGCGUGCUUAACACAUGCAAGUCGAACGAAGCACUUUUGAUUCUUCGGAAGAGGAAGUGACUGAGUGGCGGACGGGUGAGUAACGCGUGGGUAACCUGCCUUAUACAGGGGGAUAACAGUUAGAAAUGACUGCUAAUACCGCAUAACCCGAUAGAGUCGCAUGACUUAGUCGGAAAAGAUUUAUCGGUAUAAGAUGGACCCGCGUCUGAUUAGCUAGUUGGUGAGGUAACGGCCCACCAAGGCGACGAUCAGUAGCCGGCUUGAGAGAGUGAACGGCCACAUUGGGACUGAGACACGGCCCAAACUCCUACGGGAGGCAGCAGUGGGGAAUAUUGCACAAUGGGGGAAACCCUGAUGCAGCAACGCCGCGUGAAGGAAGAAGUAUUUCGGUAUGUAAACUUCUAUCAGCAGGGAAGAAAAUGACGGUACCUGACUAAGAAGCCCCGGCUAACUACGUGCCAGCCGCCGCGGUAAGAC